rnacentral:rRNA from 1 species
UACAUGGGGUGCAAACGUUGCUCGGAAUUAUUGGGCGUAAAGCGCACGUAGGCGGUUUGUUAAGUCGGAUGUGAAAUCCCUCGGCUCAACUGAGGAAGUGCAUCCGGAACUGGCAAGCUUGAGUACGAAAGAGGAUCGCGGAAUUCCCGGUGUAGAGGUGAAAUUCGUAGAUAUCGGGAGGAACACCGGUGGCGAAGGCGGCGAUCUGGGUCGAUACUGACGCUGAGGUGCGAAAGCGUGGGGAGCAAACAGG